rnacentral:rRNA from 1 species
GAUGAACGCUGGCGGCGUGCCCAAUACAUGCAAGUCGAGCGGUAAGGCCCUUCGGGGUACACGAGCGGCGGACGGCUGAGUAACACGUAGGAACAUACCCCAAAGUGAGGGAUAAGCACCAGAAAUGGUGUCUAAUACCGCAUGUGCUCUAAGGAGUAAAGCUUCGGCGCUUUGGGAAUGGCCUGCGUCCGAUUAGCUUGUUGUUGAGGUAAUAGCUCACCAAGGCGACGAUCGGUAGCUGGUCUGAGAGGAUGAUCAGCCAGACUGGGACUGAGACACGGCCCAGACUCCUACGGGAGGCAGCAGUAGGGAAUUUUCCACAAUGGGCGAAAGCCUGAUGGAGCAACGCCGCGUGCAGGAUGAAGGCCUUAGGGUUGUAAACUGCUUUUAUAUGUGACGAUUAUGACGGUAGCAUAUGAAUAAGGAUCGGCUAACUCCGUGCCAGCAGCCGCCGUAAUAC